UGCCUACCCUUGUCUGGGUCAGAUGCAGAGUAAUUUUUAGCCACUGUUCUAAACCAGACCUCAAGCAUAUCUUUACAUGUUCCCUAUGCACACCCACUUACAGAUGUCAGCAGCUUCCACUCCAGGGAAAAUGUUUUUACUUCUGCUAUUAUAUGAAUAUAGUUCUCACCUGUGUCCGAAGGCACUGUUGGCUUUCCUUAUACCCUUUAUUUGCAGCAUUACAAUAGCAUUAGAAAUUAAAUGAUUCUUCCUGAAAUUUCAAAUAAAUAACUAAAUACUCAUCUGCUCCAUCUAAUCUCUCUUAAAAAAAAAAAAAAAUCUAAAAACUUCUUUUCAAAGAAACACUAUGUUCUGAGCAACAUAGUCUCUUAUUUUAGAUGAGCUGCCCCUCUCACUUCAGAGAGGUCAAUGUGGUGCAAUAUGAUGACAAUGGACAACUAUCUUACAUUAUUUUUUAAGGUGCUAUCAGCAGCCAAACAGCAAGGCUGCUUGGAACAGCAUUCUGCUCUCAGUAACACAUUGUCAUGGCAACCAAACAAAUGGGUCAUCCCACUUCUUCUCAAUUUCAUUGUUGCAUGGUCUGGCCAAGGAGAAGAUGAGUCUUCAAAAAGCAAAAAAAAGGCUCUGGGGUGGGAAGUGGAACAAGAUGACAAAAACUGCCUGAAAAGAAAAUGAAUGUAAGGUAAUGAGUGGAAAACGACUAAAAAGGCAGUGUGAUUAGUGGCUUUCAUAGAGCAGAUCUGUGUGUAAAUGAGAAGAGAAGCUGGUUUCUGGGUUUUAUGGUAGUUCCAGAGGGAAACAGACACUGAGACGGGACCAAGAUCUAUGGAAUACGCAAAUGAGAAAGCACAGGAAAUACAGGGCAGAAGGAAUUGAUCUUGUGAAGAAAAGCUUGGAGCUGCACCUGGAAGAAAUUUUAAAAUCUCUAAGUCUUACCAUUUCUCUGCCAUCCUCAAGUACAGAUAAAAUUUCUCUGCAGAGUUUCAUUGCCCCACAGUGAAGAACUACAUGCCAUGACCAACAGCUACUCCACUACUUUUAGCUGAUGAGUUUUGUGCAGUGGCUCUAGAUUUUGGUAACCC
rnacentral:lncRNA from 1 species